AGAAGCUCAAUAAAAUUGAGACGGCGUGCGACGUUGCUCUUAUUGUGCUGGUGCCAACAACUGUCCUGCUUCUUAUGUCUCUGUAGUUUUAUUUCUUCUAGUUCGAUAAGCAACCUUAUUAUCUACUGGGUUAAGGAACCCUAUCAUGGUUUGUGUAUGUAGUAUAUGCUAGGCUUGAAUGGUUGCAGUGACUCAGGUUCUGAGGUAACAAGUAUCUAUGUGUCUGAGUUGGUUUGACAUUAUUAUUAAUCCUAAUGGACGUAUUUAUGCUAAGCACGUUUUGCAUAUAUAUCCAUUCAUUUUUCAUCGAUUUCUUAAGAUACAAAACUUACCCCAACUCUAAUGGGGCGACCCAUUUUGUUCGCAUCUGUUUGUUUGGGUCGGCGUGGACAAAAGAGGAUCUCCAACGCGUCGACCCAAAAUCGAGUUCGCUUUGCGUCGACGCGGAACGGACGCCAUGUUCGCCUUCUCAGUGUCUGUCCCAACCAUCGCGGUCAACAUAGUUUAUGAUGGCCUCCAUCCUCCACAAGUCAGCGACGGCUUUUUUUUAAUUUGAACGUGCGGUGGGUUUCACGUGUAACAAAUUGAUUGUAACUUGUGUUUAUUGACUGUUUUAUUGAAUGUAACAAAUUGAUUGUAACUUCGUGUUUAUUGACUGUAACAAAUUGAUUGUAACUUGUGUUUAUUGACUUUGGAGUUUGGGAUGCCUCCGUAGAGCCUGUUUACAAGAGAUGACAGUUGUGCCUGUUUACAAGAGAUGACAGUUGUUGGACAUGCCCGAUCGGUAGCGUGUAACAAAUUGAUUGUAACUUGUAUUUAUUGACUGUUUUAUUGAAUGUAACAAAUUGAUUGUAACUUCGUGUNNNNNNNNNNCGUUUAUUGACUGUGGAGUUUGGGAUGCCUUCGUAGAGGCGCCUGUUUACAAGAGAUGACAGUUGUUGGACAUGCCCGAUCGGUAUUUUGGACACGCCUAAUCUAAACGACGUCCGCUAAUCAUGCCCUUCGGUCCUUCGGUAGAGACACUGUCUCGUUUCGUAACAUUCCCCCUUGUACAAACUUGUACUUUCUCCGUCCGGAAAUACUUGUCUUAGAGAUGAAUGUAUCUAGACUUAUUUUAGUUAUAGAUACAUACAUUAUAUCCAUUUCCAGGAAAAGUAUUUUCGGACGGAGGAAGUACAAAGUUGCUUCUUGUAUCGUUGUAUAUACUUUUAGGAAUACUAGUAGAAUGCUCGUGCGUUGCCACGGGCUUUUCUAAAAUUUAAGAUGCAAUUCACGAAGCUAAAAUAACCAAGAAUAACGCCGUCUCUUUUUUACAAUUAACUAAUAGAAAUCAUACUAUCAAACAUAAUAAUAUGUUAUUGGCAAGUAAACCAAAUGUUAUUGGAACCAAUCAAUAGUUGAAUGGUUAGGAUAAUGAUCAUACCCAUCCAUGUGUGAGUGCAUGUGUGUAUCGGUGGUGUGCGGACAAUGUUAUCCGUAUUUCUUCAAACUUUUAUCAAGACAUACAUCAUUUUUUUUACAUCUUACCCUUUUCUUAUCGCUAUUCUCAUUCCCUAGCCGGUCGAUUUUUCAUUGGGAGAAUGAAUGCACGUUUCCUAAUAUGUAAACAUUCCAACCUUCCACAUAUGGAGACUGCUCAAAGAAAUUAUUUAUUUUUACCACUAUCACUUCAUUAUCUAGUAGAGGAUGCCAUUUUUUAAAGUAUCGUGACAUAAGUUCUCAAGCACAUACAAUGAUAUUAUUUUCAUUAUGAAUAAUGCAUUUGUAUGUCAAGGCAUACAAGUUUGAUUGCAUACUGGUGGAACAUCCAAUGAAUUCUCAAGAUUCAGUUCGAACCAAGUAUGACAUGACAUGAGAAAACCCAACAAUGAUGUGUGCCUGAGUAUCUUUCACCAUGUAGUGAUCCCUAAAAGAAUCAAAUGGAUGUCAUGCUUAUUUUGACAAAAGCUCAUUGGCUGUUUGGCCCACCUAAAAUGGCAACCUUCAAAUACACCGGACGGAUUACGACAAAAUCUUUAUGCAAAAGUUAUCUUAAUGUAUUGAUGAUUAAAGUGCUCACACGUUUGGUUUGGUUUGGAACGUGAUGGCAUACCAACUAAGUGCAUUGUAAUUAGAAAAGUUCAAGGACAUACUACAAGAUGAACUCGGCAUAUAUGGCUAAUUUUUUUAAUAUUGUAUUUUUUUAAUUCUUUUUGAAAAAUAAUGCGCCCAUUUGAAUAUUUACAAAAGUAGGCCUGCCUCGGCCCUGGCGUGACCGACAGGAUGCUGUCGGCGUCGGCGUGGCCGAUAGAAGGCCAGUCGGCCUAGGCCCGGUCGAUAAGUGCCUCUCGGCCACGUGGCGGCCGACUACUGGCCAGGCCACGUCGAUAGCCCAGUCGGCCCUGCCUGUCGGUCUUGGCGUAGCCGAUAAGGCUAUCAGCCUGGGGGAGGCCGACUAGUGGCCAGCCAGCCGAGACAGCCAGCCUUCCCCCUUCCUCCUUUCUUCCUCCUUCCUCUUUCUUCCUUCCCCUUUCCACCUUAUCUCCUUUCUCUCUUUCUCCUCCUACCUUCUCCCCCCACAAAAAAUCUUCCAUUUCCACUUUUUGAACCGUACAUUUGUUGUGUAAGGAGGAGGGCAUCCGAACUAUCCGUCUCACUCGCGAUGGGGUAGUUUGUGGUGCUUGUUUUGAAGCUAUUUUUGGUGGUGGUGGUGGAGGUUGAGGUGGAGGUUGUAGUGGUGGUGGUGGUGGUGUGGGUGAAGUUGGUUGUUUUGGUGGAGUUGGAGGUGGUGGUGUGGGAUUAAUCUCGGUGUUCGUCAAGAGUCGUUCGUCGUUCAUCGUUUCUGUGCACGCUUCAAGGGUAAAAUAUUUUUGUUGUUUAAAUAGUUUUAGGUGCUCCGGUAGAUUAGUAUAAAUUGAGUUGUUUAACUGGUUGUAGGUGCUCCGGUAGAUUAGUAUAAAUUUAGUUGUUUAACUAGUUUUAGGUGCUCCGAUAGAUUAGUAUAAAUUUAGUUUAGUAAAUGAAGUAGUUUAAAUAUUUUUAGGUUCUCCGAUAGAUUUGGAAAAUAUAUUUCGGUUUGUCGUUCUUCUAAUUUUUUUCCUUGUUGAAUAAUAUGUUAGGUCAGUAGAGAUGUCUGAUUUAGUGACGUUAUGUUUGCACUAUGGUCGUGGUACCGUUCAAACAAAUGAGAUGGGAGCUGAUCUUAGUGAAUGUCAGUACACAGAGGUGCAGGUGUCCUCCCCUAAAACAUGGUCUGUUAGUCAGUUGACAGAAUGGCUUGCGCGAUGUUUAGGGUUCAAUACUGAAACAAACACCGUCAGUGUUCAUGCAUUAUGGACCCGGUCCACUGGUAAUAUUUUCUGGUAUUUGAAGCCUAUAGGGCGGGACGACCAGUGGGUGCGCUUGUUACAAUCUUGCGAGCGUAGGGGAUGUCAUCCUGUGGCCUUACUUCUCCCCGUGCUAAAGCCGGUUACUGAACCUGAAGUGGAACGUAGCUCUGAAUAUGGUGAGAGCAGUGUAGGGAUGCAUGAUUCACAGUCAAUUCAUGCGUCCCAUGUUGGGAAUGCUUUUUACGAAGCAGGCCAGAGUAGUCAGGCCGAAGGGGGAGAUGCAGAUGAUUAUCUCAGCGGUGAGGCGGAUGCCGACGAGAUAGAUGGGCACAUGCAAAACGAGAUGCAUGAAGAAGAUAUAGCGGGUGAUAUUUCCGAUGGAUCCGCCGAAUCUGAUGGAGACGAGCACGCACAUGAAGUGCCUAUUCCUGCAUCAUGGAAUCAGGACUUCUCAUCUGCAAUGUUGGUGAAUGACGGUCAUGAUUCUGCCUGGCAGUAUCACCAGAACAACAUUGCGACAGGUGCCCUCUACCCGAACAAACAAGCUCUGAAGGAUGCCAUCCUUAAUUGGGCAAUGUCCACUCAAAGGGUAUUUGUAGCUCAAGUUUCUUGUCCGGAUAAGUUGACAAUGGUUUGUAGAAAUCAGGGUUGUCCCGCAAGGGUGCAUGGAUAUCACCCUAAGUACGACACAAGCUGGGUCAUAAGUGACUUAGUUAGUCAUAAUUGUGUUAUUCCAUGCAUCCCUCAAGAUCAUCCCAACCUUACUUCCACUGUGAUAGCUCGCUUGCUUUACAACGAGAUUGUGGAGUGCAAGGCGAUGGAAGUGAAGGCUAUCCAGAAAAAAGUCUUUGUCAGGUUAAAGUACAACAUAUCAUAUGGCAAGGCUUGGAGGGCUAAGCAGAAGGCACUCGAGACCAUAUUUGGUUCAUAUUUUGAUGCAUAUGACUCUGUUGUUCGGCUCGUGCAGACACUGCAGAACCGGAAUCCUGGCACGUAUGUUGACAUCCAAGAGUUGUACCUGCCAGAGUUCCCAACGGUUAGGGUGUUGCAUCGGAUGUUCUUCUCUUUCGGUGCUUGCAUUGAAGCUUUCAGACAUUGUCGACCGGUGAUAUGUGUUGAUGGCACAUUUCUCACUGGCAAGUACAAGGGUCAGAUCCUCACAGCCAUAGGUCAAGAUGGGCAAAAUCAAGUCGUCCCACUUGCAUUUGCUUUUGUGGAGAGCGAGAACAUCGAUAGUUGGACAUGGUUCUUCAGGCAGUUGAAAAUAGCUGUUGUGCAAGAUAAGCAGAAUGUGUGCAUCCUUCAUGAUAGGCAUGCAGGUAUACUCAACGUGAUCAAGACAUUGUCAAACCCUGCUCCCGGUGAACAAACUCCUUGGCAGGACAUUCAGAGUCGUUGGUGCAUGCGCCAUCUAGGGGCAAAUUUCUUCUCGCAGUUUAGAAAUAAGAACCUCAUGAAUCUAUUCAAGAAACUCUACAAGCAGAACCAACAAUGGAAAUAUGAGCUUAUACGUAAGAGACUAAAUGUUUGCACACAGAGACAUGUUAGGGACAGGAGAGCUGCAAGAGAUGCUGCUGUCAGGGCACAUGUUGAAGAAGUAGCUGCACAAUUAGCAACUGGAGCUGUUACCGUGGAGGAAGAGCCGGUUGGGCUUUGUGACUUGCCAGGAUUUGACCCUCCUGGUACAAGGAGAAGGCUAGCGAGGAAGAUUAAAACCUUCGAUCAGUGGAUAGAGCAUGAGCCAUUGGAGAGGUGGUCUCUCUUGCAUGACACACAUGGAGCCCGGUACGGUGUCAUGACUACCAACCUGGCUGAAACAUAUAAUUUUGUGCUAAGAGGAAACAGAGCUUUGCCACUUACAGCGAUCAUUGAGGGCAUUUUCUAUGGCAUAGUGAAGUAUUUCAGGGAAAGACGUCAAAUUGCUGCGGAGCAUAUGACAAACAAUCCGAACACACGUUAUUGUGAAAGGGUUAUGAAGUACAUGGAUGAAAAGAUGAAGAAAGCCCGGUCACACAGUGUUGUCGCCAUUGGAAAUCUAGAGCGAAGGUUUGAGGUUCGCUUAGCUAACAACAAAUUCGGAUGUGCAAAUGAGAUGAGAACACACGAGGUGAAAAUUGGAAAUGAAUUGUGGCCAACGUGCGAAUGCACAUGCAACAAACCAAAGUUGCUUCACCUACCUUGCUCACAUGUACUUGCUGCUUGCGGGCUCAUAGGUCUUGACACAAUCUCUUUUGUGUCUCCGUAUUUUUUGAAAGAGGCUGUCCUCAAUACCUGGAGAGGUGAGUUGAUGGGUUUCCGAUCAAUGGGUAACUUCAACACUGUUGAGCCUGCUCAAAGGCGAUACAUUCCACAUCCUGCGCAUAUGCGUACAAGUAGAGGGAGGCGGCAGAGUCAGCGCAUCCGGAAUGACAUGGAUGAAUCCGAGGCCGACGGGCGCACCGUGCAAUGCAUUCUAUGUAAUGAAUUUGGGCAUAGGGAUCCUGAUUGUCCCACCUUCGUCACUGGAAGGGGCACUAGGCGUGGACGAGGCAACCGAGGAAGAAGAGGAGGAAGAGGGAGGGCAAGAGGAGGAGGAAGAGUUUAACAUUUAUACUAUCACUAUGUUUUAAUUUUGUACUAUCACUAUGUUUUAAGUUUGUACGAGCACUAUGUUUUAAGUUUGUACUCUCACUACGUUUUAAUUUUGUACUAUGUGUUGCACUACGUUUUGUAUUGUAUAGCUAGUCACUCGUACUUCUAUGGUGGACUGGAGUAUACAUCCGCUGUGGGUUGAAAGGUAAAAAUGUUUUUAUUUUAAACUUUAAUCAUUGUAUUAAAUAUGCAUUGUAAGUGACAUAAAUUUUAUGAUUGGUGGAUAUGCAGACUCAAAUGGGCCGGGCUUUUAGCGUUCGCACGUCUAGUUGAGGCCACUGAGACUUCGCGGCACCUCAGCAUUGACUCUUCUUUGCUCACUUGCUUAGUGGACCGAUGGAGGCCUGAGACCCACACUUUCCACUUCAGAUGGGGUGAGAUGGCUCCUACUCUGGAAGAUGUCUCAAUGUUGCUCGGACUUUCGUUGGUGGGAAAUGCGAUAGGACCAUUGGAGGACCCACCAGAUUGGCAACAAACUUUGGCAGCACGUUUCUUCAAUAUAUAUGAUGGGGCUCCAAUACUGGUGACAGAGGCGCACGGACCUAAGUAUGAUUGGUUACAACAUUUCAGGGUUAGUUCCUACCUCGCAUAUCUAUCAAAGGUAAAUGUUUCAAGUUGCAAUAUUUCCAGGUUAUUCACAAGUCCCUUUGUCCUUACAUGAUUGCAGAUCGAGAGAUUUCCAGGUUAUUCACAAGUCCCUUUGAGUGCUAUACAGAUUACUGGUAGCCUGGAGGCGUACCUAUUGUGGCUUCUCGGGAAGGUGAUGUUCACAGAGAACCAUGUCACUACUUUGAGUGCGCGUUACAUCCCCAUUGCACUGGAAAUCGCGACUGCUGAGUCAGCUGAACAGAUCACACCGAGGAGUUGGGGAUCUGCGGUAUUAGCUGCUACCGUGCAACGGUUGUCAGCUUUCCACGGCCAAGUCGGCCAUUCUUGGUUGCCCGCUGUUUUUACAACUGUGGUCCUGGGAGAGGUUCUCUAUUGGACGACCAAACAUAGAUGUGGACCACAGUUAUCAUGUGGGCAACAUGCUUGAUGGUGAUGACAUCGACUUGCCAACUUUCGGCCUGUGUUGGACGCGUCGCAAGGUAUGUCCCCUGGUAUAAUGUUAUCCACCUUCUUAGUUUACACUAUUGUUGAAACUAACUUAUGUCUUGCGCAGAGACGGUAUGCUAGUGAACAAACUAGGCGAGCCUACACUGCACUAAAUGAGCAGUUUGAUACGUACACGGGAGUUAUUUUGCAACCGUACACGGAAGCAGCCAGAAUUUCUAGAUAUCCCGAUGGUAUUUCUGUGCUAUGCACGAGAGAUCGGGGUUACUGGAUGACGAAAUCGAAGAUUAUCUUCGAUGUCUUUGUUGAGGAGAUGGCGCAGUCUUCAUACUGACGUGAUGAACUUUGAUCGACAAUUGUCAUCCGCACCUCUUAUGGUACCUCGGUCUCAGAUUCAACCAUGGCUCAAGAGGCUCGAGCAGAGGAUAAGAGAUAUCUAUAAAGCUAUCACGUGCACGCGCACUUCGGAUGUUGUGCAUCACCAGCCAUAGCCUACACCAGUGCCGCGUCCCUCUGUGCAUCGACAUCAGCCACGUCCACGUCUACAAGGAGUGGAACCGACGCCACAUCCACCCCCACCUGACGAGCCUGGCAGUUCAGCGUGGCAUCAGCCACAACACCACGCUUCGUCAUCGAGCUUCAUGUUUCAGCCAACUCCGCAACAUCACAAUCCUACUCCUGGUUUCAUGUUUCAUCCACAUCCAACAGGUAUGGUCGCUCCUGCAUAUCAUGAUGUGUCGGCGUCCGGAUCCGGCUUAGGGAGUGAACCAGAUGAGCCACAAUCGCAGCAAAACAUGUGGUUGGACAUGUUUUCGACUCCUCCACCCUGGCCCACACAGGAUACACAGUAUGACGAGGGUGGAUCCGAGAUUCCUCCUCGUAACAUUAGGCCCCCCCACAUGUGGGGAUGGAGUACACCCCCCACACCCCCAGAGCGCCAACCGAGACGUCGUGAGUGAAGCAAACUCUUUGCCCUGCUAUGUAUCACUUCAGACUUAUGUCUAUUUUAUUUAAGAAACUUAUGUGUAUUUUAUGUAUGAGACUUAUGUGUAUUUUAUCUAUGAGACUUAUGUGUAUUUUAUCNNNNNNNNNNAUAUUCCUAUCUAUUUCUAUGCUGAGUUGGUUCAUCGUGGAUAACACAUAUACUACCAAUAACUUGAGAUUACAAACAAAGUAAGAUUCCGGAGAUACAUAAAAUAAGAUACAUGAAAUAAGAUACAUAAAAUAAGAUACAUGAAAUAAGAUACAUGAAAUGAGAUACAUAAAACAAGAACUACAUAAAGUCGUCGUCAUCCUUCGAUGAUGCAGAGCUCUGGCCCUUCGACGAAGCGGUACUCUUGGCACUCGUUGAUGCUGCCCUCUUGUCCUUGCUACUCGGCAUGAAGAUAUCGUGUUCGUCCUCGCUAUCGUCAAUCCAUAAAAAGGGAUGUUUUACUCCACCUCCACCGCGUAUGUGCUGGCCUGUCUUCUUCCACCUUUCAUUCAACCGCAGAAGUUCCUUCCGAAUCUCCUCAUAUGUCCUUGCAGGCCACCCCUUCCUAGCUAAUGCAUGAGCAACCUCAUUCAGUAGCGUGUCACUACUGAUGAGUUCGUCCCAUGAAACUAUUCUAUUGUCUAUCUUGAAAUUGCUAGCCAAGCGUAGAAGACACUCCGACAUACCACUGUGAAAACUAUGAUCGAAAGGAUAAUGAGACAUUUUGAGCACACUCCUUACCAACCUUGCUGUGGAGAGGGUUUUAUAGGUGCCGAAGAGCGGGAAAUAAAUGGCGGGAAAGCGAGGCGGGAACAAAAUGGCGGGAAAGCAAGGCGGGAACAAAAUGGUGGGAAAGCAAGGCGGGAACAAAAAUGCUUAGUUGGUUCUUCGUGGAUAACACAUAUACUACCAAUAACUUGAGAUUACAGACAAACUAAGAUAGACCUUGCCGGAAUUAAAAUACAACUUGCUAAAAUUAAGAUACAACGUGCUGACACAACUUGCUGGAAUUAAGAUACAACUUGCUGAAAUUAUAAUAAAUCUACUGAGUCCAGCGUGGAUAUUUCCCUUUUCCAUCACCGGCUUCUUCUGCUGCUUUGGCCGCACGCGCCCUUUCUCUCUUUCUCUCCCUCUCAGCUUCACGGGCCUGUUCCCGCUGUCUGUAAACCUCCUCCAACCGAAGUUUCUCUUCUUGGUUCUUCCUUAUCAUCUCAUCAAUAAAAGCCCUCUGCUCCACACAAUAAUCUUCCCACUCUUUCUUCUGCUCUGCUUUCUCCUCUGCUUUAGCCUUCGCGCGGCGCUCUUCCAAGUCCAAGCUAGCCCAUGCACGGCGACCUCUUUCACGAAUCUCGGUCACCGCCCAGUCCGGCAUUUCCGUGUCAAUCCAACGAUAGUACAUGCAGAGAGGAGGAGGAGACUACAAUAUAUAUAUAUAUAUAUAUAUAUANNNNNNNNNNNNNNNNNNNNNNNNNNNNNNNNNNNNNNNNNNNNNNNNNNNNNNNNNNNNNNNNNNNNNNNNNNNNNNNNNNNNNNNNNNNNNNNNNNNNGAUUUCUCGCACUCGAGUCCACUAACACCACAACAAUACUCCAUCGUGGAAUCAUUCCGUCUCCAUACGGAAAUGCCGUCCAUGACACUCACGCUUAUCUUGACAAUUUUAUGAGUAGCCAUUUAAGUUAUCUAUGAACAACAUAUGUCUCCAAGUAGUCCAUAUCCGCGGACGCGGCUAUUCGAAUAGAUCAUAACCCUGCAGGGGUGUACUUCGUCACACACGCUCUCGCCACUUAUCGCCAUGUGCACGUCAUGCACCUCGGCAACCUUCAAGCGGAAGCCCAGCGAGGGAGUCGGCCACGACCGUUAACCCCAUUAGUACCUAGUCCAGGUCUAUCGCCUAUCUGAGGGUAACCUGCACGGAAGUCCGGACGAGGUUUCCGCCACGGCCCCAAACGAUGUGCACAGGGUUCCCAAGCCCACCAUCCGGGUGCCACUUGGUACACCGUGCCACUGUCUACCGCAUCACAGCCCACCUCUCAGGUCAGCACCAUGCACGGCCUCCAGCAUGACUAUAAACACCAGAAACUACUUGCAACUCCUGGACCGAGUACUAGGCAAUUAAUAAGUCGAGCGGGGUCAUAUUUCAGGGCCAACAUGUGGUAGUAUCUCGACUUGGAUUACAUACACAGAACUAAGUUCCUAAGGACGGUUCCAAUGAAACAAUCCGCCAUGUACUCCUACACAGCCUUUCACCGGUACCUUUACAAAAUCAGGUUUAACACACAACCUUUGCUUACCGAACACAUUCUCACAAUUCUGUUCAUCUCCCAGAUGACAGACCAUACACAACUCUAAGCAUAGCAUGCAUAGCAGGAUAAGGCACAUCAUGGCUCAAGCAACUACCAGGUAUGCUAGGUUGCAAGGUUCAGCUAUUUACUGUGACAAGGAUAGGUCAUGCAAAGGAAGUGGGUUCAACUAACGUGGCAAAAGCAUUUGAAGCAUUUGAUCCUAAUGCAAUAAGUAAGUGCAGGAGCGAGAACAUGGGAUUUAUCGGGAUGAUCAAAAUGGUUGCUUGCCUUGUUGCUCAGAGGAGUGACAAUAUCCGUCAGACGGAUAUUCGGUGGAAUCCGGGGGAGCGGAGCCUACCGAAAGGAAUGACAACAAUCCAUAUCAAACAUAUGCAAUCAAGAUGAUGCAUGAGCAUGGCAUGAGGAUGCAAGGUGGUAUACUAUUAUAGCUAACAUGUAUUAGGUUUGAAGUUGAUUUGAAUCAAAUUCAAAUAUCACUUCAAACGAGGUAUUCUCGGAUACCAUUUUAAUUGAUUCGACCUGAUGCUCAGAUCAACUUGCUUUUAACAUGCAUGGUAUGACAUGUUAGGUUGCUGGUUUGUACUUUGGACAGUGUUUGAUCAUAUCAUGUGAAGUGAAAUUUAAAUAUUUUCCAAAUUCCAUCUCCAAAGUAUUUAUAAGAAUUAACUUAUUCAUUAAUCUACAUGUUUGGGUUCAGUAACAUUUCCAAACAUGUUUGCAAAUGACAUAUUCAGAUCCCUUGAAUUUUUCUGAUACUUUUUCAUAUAUAAGUUAUUUUCAUUGGAGUUACAAAUUAAUUUCUAUGAUUUUUAGAAGUUUUGGCAUUUUUCUGGAAUUCUUUUAAAUCAGAAAUUCACUUAUUGCGUGAUGACUGCAUCAUCAUGGCGUCAGCAGGUCAACUGACCUGAUCAGGUCAAACCUGACAGGGGGGGGGGGACCCACUGGUCAGCAUCUCAUGUGCUAAUCCCGCGCUGACCAACCCCUAAGUGGGUUUGACUUGGCCUUGGGACCACUGUCAGUGAGCGAUUAGGGUUUAAACUACUGGGUUAAGCUGGCCACGUCGUUCCCCACCGGAGCCUGGCCGGCGGCGACCAGAUCCGCGGCAGAACUUCGCCGGAGACACGCUAUAUCGUGCUGUGGUGCUCGGAAAAGGAUGCCGAGAGCACUGGGAUGAUCCCGAGGCUCGACCUCAUCCAGCGCUGGCCUCAGGGAGGGAUAUAGGUGGCCGGAGCAAGCCGGCGACAAGCUAGGGCGGCUGUCGGAGUAUGGGUUCGAUGGUCCAGUGGGUAGAGGGCACAUAUCCGAGGGGAAGGAGAGGGGAAAUGAUCGCAGGCUCACGGUGGAGGUGAAGCUAGGCUCAGACUGGUCAGGGAGGGGUUGUAGCUGGUGUUUCACCGUCGAUUUGCCGGCGACCGAAGGUUGAAGACGAUGGCGUUGGGGACUUUGCAGAGCUCGGGGAGGCUUCGGCCUUUGUAGAGAGAAACAACUCGUCGAGGCGGAGCUACUGGACUACUCGGGAGGGAGGUCCUGUGGCUAGAGGGUCGGCGGCUCGAGCUCGAGCUCUUGGCAAUGGCGGCAGAAGGAGGGAGGAGAGAUCCCGAGAGGGGGGGGGGACUGAAGUAGGGGAACGGAUAGAGACGGGCUCGGGGUGGAUAUCCCCGCUGUCCCGCUGUCCUGGGGGCACCGGAGGUCGCCACGGCGAAGCAUAAGGUGGAGGGGGCCGCCGUGGUCGAUCUCCCCUCUGCCAGAAGGCAGAGGAAGAAGACGACCCUGCCCCUGGUGGGCUGGGCCUCCNNNNNNNNNNNNNNNNNNNNNNNNNNNNNNNNNNNNNNNNNNNNNNNNNNNNNNNNNNNNNNNNNNNNNNNNNNNNNNNNNNNNNNNNNNNNNNNNNNNNACGGAAGUGUUUAAAACUGUCUGAGUACAGACAGGUGAAACUAGAAGGCACAUGGCCUCACUAUACUACAGACCCAACCUAGGGCCAGAUCGUAGCUGGGACACCAGCUACUCGUCGUCGUCGAUGUCUAUGAAGAACAAUCCAUUAGGGUCAUUAGCAACCUCUACAACAUUUAUUAUGCAAACAUGAGUACGGAGGUACUCAGCAAGACUUUAGGAUAACUAUCUACNNNNNNNNNNAAUCAUUUCGUCUCCAUACGGAAAUGCCAUCCCCGACACUCACGCUUAUCUUGACAAUUUUGUGAGUAGCCAUUUAAGUUAUCUAUGAACAACAUAUGUCUCCAAGUAGUCCAUGUCCGCGGACGUGGCUAUUCUAAUAGAUCAUAACCCUGCAGGGGUGUACUUCUUCACACACGCUCUCGCCACUUAUCGCCAUGUGCACGUCAUGCACCUCGGCAACCUUCAAGCGGAAGCCCAGCGAGGGAGUCGGCCACGACCGUUAACCACAUUAGUACCUAGUCUAGGUCUAUCGCCUAUCUGAGGGUAACCCGCACGGAAGUCCAGCCAAGGUUUCCGCCACGGCCCCAAACGAUGUGCGCAGGGUUCCCAAGCCCACCAUCCGGGUGCCACUUGGUACACCGUGCCACUGCCUAUCGCAUCACAUCCCACCUCUUAGGUCAGCACCAUGCACGGCCUCCAGCAUGACUAUAAACACCAGAAACNNNNNNNNNNNNNNNNNNNNNNNNNNNNNNNNNNNNNNNNNNNNNNNNNNNNNNNNNNNNNNNNNNNNNNNNNNNNNNNNNNNNNNNNNNNNNNNNNNNNUAGCUCUACUAUUUUUAUAUGUUCCUAGAGAAAAUUUAGUUGAAAAUUGAUAGUAGCAACCUUUGCAGACUGAGUCUGUAAAACCGAGGAUUGUCCUCGUUGCUAUGCAGAAGGCUUAUGUCCUUAAUGCACCACUCGGUGUGCUGCACCUCGAGCGUCGUCUGUGGAUGCUAUGAACAUCCGACAUACACGUUACUGAUGACUACACGAUAGUUCAGUGCAAGAUACUUGAUGGCUUAGAGGCAAGGUGCCGAAAACGUUGUAAAACGUCACAGAACAUGAGUGAUGUUCCGAAGAGAUGAAAUUGUGAUUUCAUGCUUGUGCCCUUAUUAAGAGGUACGAGACCUCCAACCAAGAUUCUUUGUCCACAAAGUAAAGGAGAAAAGCUCAAUCGUUGAGCGUGUGCUCAGAUUGUCUGAGUACGACAAUCGCUUGAAUCAAGUGGGAGUUAAUCUUCCAGAUGAGAUAGUGAUGGUUCUCCAAAGUCACUGCCACCAAGCUAUGAGAGCUUCGUGAUGAACUAUAACAUAUCAAGGAUAGAUACUAUGAUCUUUUGAGUGAUUCGCGAUGUUUGACACUGCGAAAGUAGAAAUCAAGAAGGAGCAUCAAUAGUUGAUGGUUAGUAAAACCACUAAGUUUCAAGAAAGGCAAGGGCUAGGAGGGAUACUUCGUGAAACGGCAAAACAGUUGCUGCACUAAUGAAGAGACCCAAGAUUAAACCCAAGCCCGAGACUAAGUGCUUCUGUAAUAAGGGGAACAGUCACUGAGGCGGAGCAACUCUAGAUACUUGGUGGAUAAGAAGGCUGGAAAAAGUCGAGAGAAGUAUAUAUGUGAUAUACAUAAUGUUGAUGUGUACUUUACUAGUACUCCUAGUAGCACGAGGGUAUUGGAUACCGGUUCGGUUGCUAAGUGAUUAGUAACGCGAAAUGAAAGCUACGGCAUAAACGAAGACUAGCUAAAGGCGAGGUGACGAUACGUGUUGGAAGUAUUUCCAAGGUUGAUAUAAUCAAACGUCGCACGCUCCCUCUACCAUCGGGAUUGGUGUUGAACCUAAAUAAUUGUUAUUUGGUGUUUGCGUUAAGCGUGAACAUGAUUGGAUCGUGUUUAUUGCAAUACGAUUAUUCAUUUAAAGAGAAUAAUGGUUACUCUAUUUGCUUAAAUAAUCACCUUCAAUGGUUCAUUGAAUCUCGAUUGUAGUGUUACACAUUGGUGCCAAAAGAUACGAGUUAAUAAUGAUAGUGCCACUUACUUGUGGCACUGCCGCUUGAGUCAUGUUAGUAUAAAUUGCAUGAAGAGGCUCCAUGCUGAUGGAUCUUUGUACUCACCUGAUUUCGAAUCACUAGUGACAUGCAAAUCAUACCACAUGAGCAAGGCCUUGUUUUCAUUGAAGAUGAAAUAAGAUAGUAACUUGUUGGAAGUGAUACAUUUUGAUGUAUGCAGUCCAAUGGGUGCUGAGGCACGCAGUGGAUAUCAUUAUGUUCUUACUUCACUGACGAUUUGAGUAGAUGCUAGAGUAUUUACUUAAUGAAUCACGAGUCUGAAAUAUUGAAAAGUUCAAUUCUGUUUCAGAGUGAAGUUCGUCGUAACAAGAGGAUAAACUGUCUACGAUAUGAUCAUAGAAAUGAAUAUCUGAGUUACGAGUUUUGGUACGCAGUUAAGACAAUGUGGAAGUUGUUUCGCAGUUCAUGCCACCUGGAACAUCAUAGUGUGAUGAUGUGUCUGAACAUCAUAGCCACGCACUAUUUGGUAUGAUGCAUACUAUGAUGUCUCUUAUCGAAUUACCACUGUCGUUUAUGGGUUAUGCAUUAGAGACAACCGCACUCACUUUAAAUAGGGCACCGCGUAUUUCCGUUGAGAUGACACAGUAUAGACUGAGGUUUAGAGAAAUCUAAAUUGUCGUUUCUUGAAAGUUUGGGGUUUCGACACUUAUGUGAAAAAGUUUCAGUCUGAUAAGCUCGAACCCAAAGCGGAUAAAAUGCAUCUUCAUAGGAUAUCCAAAACAGUUGGGUACAUCUCCUAUCUCAGAUCCGAAAGCAAAGUGUUUGUUUAUAGAAACGGAUCCUUUCUCGAGGAAAGGUUUCUCUCGAAAGAAUUGAGUGGGAGGGUAGUAGAACUUGAUAAGGUUAUUGAACCAUCACUUCAACCAGUGUGUAGCAGGGCGCAGGAAGUUGUUCCUGUGGCGCCUACACCAAUUGAAGUGGAAGCUGAUGAUGGUGAUCAUCAAGCAUCGGAUCAAGUUACUACAAGCCUCGUAGGUCGACAAGGUCGCGUACUGCUGCAGAGUAGUACGGUAACCCUGUCCUGGAGGUCAUGUUGUUGAGCAACAGUGAACCUACGAGUUAUGGAGAAAGCGAUGGUGGACCCAGAUUCCGACAAAUGGCUGGAAGCCGUGAAAUCCGAGAGAGGAUCCAUGUGUGAAAACAAAGUGUAGACUUUGGUAGAACUACUUGAUGGUCAUGGGACUAUUGGGUAAAAUGGAUCUUUAAAAGAAGACAGACGAUGAUGGUGAUAAGUCACUAUUAAGAAAAGCUCGACUUAUCGCAAAGAUGUUUUCGAUGAGAUCAAACAGUUGACUAUGAUGAGACUUUCUCACUCGUAGCGAUGCUAAAGGUCUGUUAGAAUUAUGUUAGUUGUUGUUGCAUUAUUUAUGAAAUAUUGCACAUAGGAUGUCAAAACAUUGUUUUCUCGACGGUUUCCUUGAGCAAACAUUGUAUGUGAUACAACCAGAAGGUUUUGUCGAUCCUAAAAGAUAUUAGCAAGUAUGCAAGCUCCAGUGAUCCUUCAAAAAGACUGGUGCAAGCAUCUCGGAGUUGGAAUAUAUAUACUUUGAUGAGAUGAUCAAAGAUUUUGGGAUUGUACAAGGUUUAUGAGAAACUUGUAUUUCCAAAGAAGUGAGUGGGAGAACUAUAGAAUUUCUGAUAGGUAUAUGUGGUUGACAUAUUGUGGAUCAGAAGUAAUAUAGAAUUUCUGUAAAGCAUACAAGGUUGUUUGAGAGAAGUUUUCAAAGGAGUACCUGGAUUACGCUACUUGAACGUUGAGCGUCAUAGAUCUAUGGAGAUAGAUCGAAAGCGCUUAAUAGAAGUUUCAACAAAAUGCAUGCCUUGACAAGUUUUUGAAAGAGUUCAAAAUAGACCAGCAAAGAAGGAGUUCUUGGUUGCGUUGUGAGGUGUGAAUUUGAGUAAGACUCAAAACCCGAUCACGGCAGAAUAAAGAGAAUAGACGAAGGUCGUCUUCUAUGCCUUAGCCGUAAAAUCUAAAGUAUGCCAUGCUGUGUACCGCACCUGAAGUGUGCCUUGACUCAAAGUAUGUUGAGAGGUACAGAGACUGAUCCGUGAUUGAAUCACUAGCAGCGGUCGAAAUUUAUCCUUAGUAACUAAUGGACUAAGGAAUUUUUCUCGAUUAUGGAGGUGGUUAAAGAGUUUGUCGUAAAGGGUUACGUCGAUGCAAGCUUUGACACUAAUCCGAUUAACUAUGAGUAGUGAAACGGAUUCAUAUAGUAGAGUAGAUAUUUGAAGCAUUUCCGAAUAGCACGUAGUAGCAGCAUCUAUAAGAUGACAUAAAGAUUUGUAAAGAACGCACGGAUCUGAAAGUUUCAGAACCGUUGACUAAAACCUCUCUCACGAGCAAGACGUGAUCAGACCCCAUAACUAUAUGGGUGUUGGAUUCGUUGGAAUCACAUGGUGAUGUGAACUAGAUUAUUGACUCUAGUGCAAGUGGGAGACUGUUGGAAAUAUGCCCUAGAGGCAAUAAUAAAUUAGUUAUUAUUAUAUUUCUUAGUUCAUGAUAAUCGUUUAUUAUCCAUGCUAUAAUUGUAUUGAUUGGAAACACAAUACUUGUGUGGAUACAUAGACAAAACACUGUCCCUAGUAAGCCUCUAGUUGACUAGCUCGUUGAUCAAAGAUGGUCAAGGUUUCCUGGCCAUAGGUAUCUCGGGGCCCACUCGGUAAUACAACAUCACACACAAGCCUUGCAAGCAAUGUAACUUAGUGUAAGUUGCGGGAUAUUGUAUUACGGAACGAGUAAAGAGACUUGCCGGUAAACGAGAUUGAAAUAGGUAUACGGAUACUGACGAUCGAAUCUCGGGCAAGUAACAUACCAAAGGACAAAGGGAAUGACAUACGGGAUUAUACGAAUCCUUGGCACUGAGGUUCAAACGAUAAGAUCUUCGUAGAAUAUGUAGGAUCCAAUAUGGGCAUCCAGGUCCCGCUAUUGGAUAUUGGCCGAGGAGUCUCUCGGGUCAUGUCUACAUAGUUCUCGAACCCGCAGGGUCUGCACACUUAAGGUUCGACGUUGUUUUAUGUGUAUUUGAGUUAUAUGGUUGGUUACCGAAUGUUGUUCGGAGUCCCGGAUGAGAUCACGGACGUCACGAGGGUUUCCGGAAUGGUCCAGAAACGAAGAUUGAUAUAUAGGAUGACCUCAUUUGAUUACCGGAAGGUUUUCGGAGUUACCGGGAAUGUACCGGGAAUGACGAAUGGGUUCCGGGAGUUCACCGGAAGGGGGCAACCCACUCCGGGGAAGCCCAUAGGCAUUUGGGGGGUCACACCAGCCCUUAGUGGGCUGGUGGGACAGCCCACCAAUCCCCUAUGCGCCAAGAGAGAAAAAAUCAAAGGAAAGGAAAAAAAAAGGAAGAAGUGGGAAAGGGGAAGGACUCCCUCCCACCAAACCAAGUAGGACUCGGUUUGGGGGGGGGGAGAGUCCUCCCCCCUGGCUCGGCCGACCCCUUGGGGAUCCCUUGGACCCCAACGCAAGGUCCCCCUCCCUCCUCCUAUAUAUAUGGGGCUUUUAGGGCAGAUUUGAGACGACUUUCUCACGGCUGCCCGACCACAUACCUCCAUAGUUUUUCCUCUAGAUCGCGUUUCUGCGGAGCUCGGGCGGAGCCCUGCUGAGACGAGAUCAUCACCAACCUCCGGAGCGCCGUCACGCUGCCGGAGAACUCUUCUACCUCUCCGUCUCUCUUGCUGGAUCAAGAAGGCCGAGAUCAUCGUCGAGCUGUACGUGUGCUGAACGCGGAGGUGCCGUCCGUUCGGUACUAGAUCGUGGGACUGAUCGCGGGAUUGUUCGCGGGGCGGAUCGAGGGACGUGAGGACGUUCCACUACAUCAACCGCGUUCUCUAACGCUUCUGCUGUACGAUCUACAAAGGGUACGUAGAUCACUCAUCCCCUCUCGUAGAUGGACAUCACCAUGAUAGGUCUUCGUGCGCGUAGGAAAAUUUUUGUUUCCCAUGCGACGUUCCCCAACAGUUGCAACUGUUUUCGCCCGGUUUUCCGUUAAUCAAUGGGGAAAUUUUCUUCUUCUUUAUUAAUGAGAUGAGGCAAAGCUCUUUCCUCUAUUUCAAAAAAUAAUAAUUGUUUUAAUUAAGAAAUGCAUGUGGAACAUGAUAGCAUGUGAUUUUGAUAUCUAUAUCAACAAAUUGAUUCUUUAUACGCUUCUCCCCUCAUGCUUCUUCCUUCAUAUGCAAUUGUCGUGUCUCUUCAACCACUCUCUCCUCGUAAGAAGAUAAAGCAAUAUUUUUUUCAUUGCCAUUUCUUUUCCUUCACCUUUUUCUUGCCACACUAUAAGCCCUCUUUUCAAGAUCUUGUAUUACGAUUUAAAAUAUUGUGUUGCCCUCUUUUAUGGUAGUCACUUAGUUGAAAGGAAACAUACGCAAUACUGGUCACGACUAACUAAAAGGAAACAUGAACUCCAUGAAAGACGGUAUGCGGUUGCAUAUGGGAUAGGGGUAUGGUUGUACGCUGCCUCGAGCGGAAGUGUGGUGAGGCACGCUGGUGGUCGGGGGAGAUGAGGCGACAGCGUCGGGUGGUUUUAAUUUGAGAGAGUUUUGGAGGAGAGGACUCCAGGUGAGGGGUGAAGGUGGAGGACGUGCCGAACUACUUUCUUUUAUGGAAGACCUGUAAAAUUUUUUUAUGUCAAGUGGGGUUUCUUCUGGCGACUUUUUUACCCGCGACCAAGGGAGUUGGGGGAUCGAAGGAGGUGGGGGAGCUAACGAGGUUGAUGUUGGGGAACGUCGCAUGGGAAACAAAAAAUUCCUACGAUCACCAAGAUCAAUCUAUGAAGACUAACAUCUACGAGAGAGGAGUGCAUCUACAUACACUUGUAGAUCGCUAAGCGGAAGCGUAGAUAACGCGGUUGAUGUAGUCGAACGUCUUUACGAUCCAAAUCGCAAUCCGUCCCGUGAUCCGAUCCCGACCUAGCCCCGAAAGGACGACACCUCCGCGUUCAGCACACGUACGGAUCGAUGACGUCUUCGUCUUCUUGAUCCAGCAAGACGUGCGAAGUAGUAGAUGAGUUCCGGCAGCAUGACGUCAUGGUGACGUUUGUGGUGAAGAAUAAUCUCCGCGGGGCUUCGCCAACAUAACGGAAACUAUGACGAAGGAAGAACUAGAGGGGCGAGGUUGCCCGCACAAAGCUUGGGGAAAUAUUGAUGUGUCCUGGGUGCUAGCCUUGCCCCUCUGUUUAUAUGUUAAGUCAUGGGGUCGUUUCUUAAAGAAAGAGUCUCCUCAAAGUCGGUUUGGCACGCAAGGCAAGAGUCCUCCUGGGACUCCAGGACAAGACGCCAAGUCCUUGGUGUCUUGCCCCAAACGCGAGGGUCCGUGGUGUCUAGCCCCUCGCUUUAGCAAAACUCCUUUUGCACCUUCCUAAAACCUCGUGGGCUUUACCCUUUGCCCAAAUAAAGUGUUCUUGUACCUGAACAUUUCGGGAAACAAAUCAAAUAACUACUUUGAUCAGCAUAUAAACUAAUUAUGGGCUGCCAAUUCCCUGAGAAGACUGUAUACUGUAAAAGGUAGCGAGAAAUCAAGCAUCAACGACCUCUGAAUAAAAUCAAUUGUUAAGACUCAUUAAAAAGACCAAUUUAUAUAAUAAGGUUACUUGGCUUAUAUAGAUGGCCUCCUAAGUCAGUUAGAUGCAUCACCAUGGUGAUUAAGAAAAAUCAUACUCACAAUUGACAUCCAUCUUACUGUAUUUCAGUGAUAAAAGGAAUGACCAAUUUAUAGAAAUCAGAAAACAGAAGAACUCCAAACUAAAUUUUCUAAAACACUUGUAAAAAAAGUAUACACAAAUAUGUUCUUUUAAUACGUGCUUUUUGUAAAAGUAUAUCCGCGUAGGAUGUGCUAUGUUGAAAUCAGACCCCAGAAUUAGCUAAAUAUUCCCGUAAUGUGUAAUAUUGUCAAGGAGAUGCUAAAUCCACCGGAAACCUAUCAAUUAGAAAAACUCCAUGGUAAUUGCGGCCUAGGGCAUGCGAUCAAUAUUUUCUCAACUGACAGAAGGUCCUGCCCAGUCACUCACAUGCUCCUAUCCUAGGUAGUGAAAAUAGGAAGGUCCUGCCCAGUCAGUGAGAUGCUCCGAUCCUAGGUAGUGAAAAUAAACGAACUUCUUGAUAUUUAAAAUACUAGAGAAAAUCAGGAUCUCAGCGAGGAAUAAAGAUGUAUGCCAUCCUAGGUGGUGUCUCUGUUCAUGAGCCAGUAUGAUGCACAAUAGCAACAUCGAACAAAAGCCUUAGUGGGCAAUAGAAAGUGGCAGGUUGCAUUCCUAUCUCCUCUUCCAGAGAAAGUACGAUUUUUGGAAACAAAUGUAUUAAGAAAGAGCUGUUUAAUAUACAUGCAAGUUCACAGCAGCAACAUUCAAAGCGUGAUGAACAGAGACACCACAAUGCAAGAUCAUAGCUAUCUUACCAAAGAUUCCACAUAUCUCCCUUUGUUCCAGUCAAUGAAAGGUUGUUCAAAAACCUGGAAUAAAAAACACAACUAAAUAAAACGUUGUUGUAAUUAACAAAUAAUUUAGUAUAUAGCUUGCUGGUACUGCUAUUCUGAAGGUGAAUAAUUUGCAUUCCAAAAUUUCUGCCAUUUUUUAUUUUUUUUUAGAAAAGGAGGAUGAUCUCCGGCCUCUGCAGGAAGAUGCAUGCAGCCAUUUUAUUAAUUAUUCAUAAAGAUCUUACAGAGCAAUACAUCAAUAUAUCUGAAGCCGCCCUCUUGACAAUUUUUGUCGCUACUCCUAUCCAAUGAUGAAGGGGUGUAGAAAGUGUGAGCCACAUACCCAGACCUCUCACCUAGCCUAACAUCUAAGCGGAGGCCCCGACCGAGCCACAUACCGGGUCAGGGGCACAAACCGGUCCAACGCACCCUCAUAGGUCGUCGCCGCCGCUUAUCAUCAAUCCAUCUUCAGAAGAGUUACUGACGCAUCGACCUUGCAAGGCCUGCCGUCGAUGCCCCCACGGCGCCAGACAGCGCCUCCUCCCUACGCGCGCUCAUCAUCACGCAUCUGUCGCCGAGACUUUGCUACGCCUCGCCGCCGAGACUCCACGACGUCGAUGGGUCACAAGGAACGCCGCUCCAUCGUAGAUGCCGACCAUGGAACAGGGAAGCAAAUUUUACUGAAGAUAUGAACCCAUUUGAACAAACUUCAGUACUGAAAAUUAUUAUAAGCAGAUUUACGACAUGCAUGUCCAUAUACUCCCUCAGUUUCUAUAUAUAAGUCUUUCUAGAGAUUUUAAUAGUAAACUACAUACAAAUGUAUAUAGACCAUCAGUGAAAUAUUUUAAAAAACUUAUAUUUAAAAACAGAGAAAGUACAACCUAGCAAGCAUGCACCAUCCAGCGGCACGGCUGUGAGGACAGCUGGCGAUACCUAUAUCAUGAAAGCAAAAUAUGUGGCUAAAUACUCAUAUUUCCAUAUGCCACAGUAGUGAUAAUUCUAUCGUUCAGCAGUAAACCUUCCAUGUGUAAAGGAGUAACUGUGAAUAAAUCUACAACAAUUUGCUUUUGCAGUUCUCCUAAGCAAUCUUCUGCGAGCUCUUAUGUAAGCAUGGAAAAAGGGCCCAUAAUCCAGCUUGAAACCAUUGUGUUAAAACAAAGCUUGUACGAGAAUGAAUAUCACACAUGUAAUGUGAAUCAUUUCUAAAACAGAGCACGGCUCACAUAGUAAAAUAACACGAAAGCAUGCACAUAUACUCCCUCCGUUCCUAAAUAUAAGUCUUUUUAAGAUUUCAUUAAAGGACUACAUACGGAACAACAUGAGAAUCUACAUUUUAAAAUAUGUCUAUAUACAUCCGUACAUAGUCUUCUAGUGAAAUCUCUAAAAAGACUUAUAUUUAGAAACAGAGGGAGUAGUUCGCUAGAAGGGCAACAGAGCAAAGUUAACAUCAGAACAAAGGCCGCAUACACAUCAAACCAAUUAUGUACAAAUGUAAUCCUAAAGUUCUUGGCAUACACAAUGGAAGUCCCACAAAUUCAUCAUUCAUAUAAUUCUAGAUGUUCUAGAUAUGAGUAGUGCAAACCUAUUUCUGAAUAAAUAGCUAAACAUACCAUAGAAAUUCAGGGAUCAGCAUACAGUUCAGGCUCCGUUUGGAAUAAGUGUAAACUUAUACACACGGAUUUAAUCUAUAAGUGUAUAUUACCGGCCGUAGUGCAAUUUAUGCCCGGAAUAAAAACGACCGUCCCAGGUCUGUAGCAAUUAUACAUCGGUAUUAGAACCGAACCGACAAUCCAAGCGCGCCCUGAUUACGCGGAACUCGUCAAAACUCACGGUUUUGGCCUAUUCCGGCCAAUUUGUAUACAAUUACUCACUGAUUUUGGGUCCCGCUGUGAUCUGAGCGUUUCGAAAACCCCGGGGUCCAGUUACAGGGAACUCGUCAAAACUUGCAGUUUUGGUCUAUUAUGGCCAGUUUUGUAUGCAAUCAAUCACUGAUUUGGGUCCCGCUGUGAUCCGAACGUUUCGGGAACCUCGUGGUCCAAUUACGGGGAACUCGUCAAAACUCGCAGUUUUGGCCUAUUCUGGCCAGUUUUGUAUGCUAUUACUCAUCGAUUUUGGGUCCCGUUGUGUUCCGAACGUUUCAGGAACCCCGGGGUCCGGUUAUGGGGAAUUCGUCAAAACUCGCAGCGGAAAGUAGCGAGUAUUUUAUCGUCCUGGUGCUCGUCUUCACAGCCGUGGCCCAUCAUCUCCGUCGCGGUGGGAUGAUCCAUCGUGAAGGUGGCCUUGGCAACGGCGUCCUGUCGUCCGAGGAUCUCUCUGGCGAGGAGCAGAAGGUUGCCGCGAUUCACCUCACCAGAGCCUGCUCUUGCUUGAUGGCUGGGAACGGAUGGGCCGGGGAACGCACGAGAUGAGCAUGACCAAAUGAUGUCCUUCUGCUGCUAGGAGAAGCUGGAAGAGGGCGCUGGCCGUUGUUGUCGCUGGGUCGCCGUCGCCGCGCGUCUCCCCAAGGGCUAGUCGAGGCAGAGGGCCACGUUGAUGUAUCGAUCCGCCGCCGCUGCUCCCGUCCGCUGCCGCUGGCCUCCAUGCUCAUGCUCGUCUCUUCUGUAUGCUAUAUCUUUCUUCUGUGCACCCCCUCACCUCGGCCAUGUUGAAGGGAAACGAUGGCCAGCGCCGGCAGAUGAGAUGAGACGGUCCCGGACGGGAUGGGACUAGGAGUGCUGGAUUUGGUGAAUCGCACUUUUAGCGGCAGAGAGGGGCAUGACAAAAAAUAGUUUGAAGCAUCUAUAUUGAUUUUUUCUCUCCAAUGAAAGCAACCAUCAGGGUGCCUCAUCAAAGAAUAAUAUAUAUAUAUAAAGACUCUAAUACAUAUGAAACUCUACUUUCCACUUUUAACUUUUUCAGCCUUUUUAAACCGGACCACGCCAUUUCCUUAUCCGAACCUACUUUUUUCUGACAUCCGAUCCUACAAGUCAUACGAAGCAUCAUCCUAAGGCUAUGCAUUGUACAUGCAGACGGCGGUUGUGUGGAGCGGUUUUGCGAGAAUAGUUAAUAAUGAGAUCAUCAUUUUAGGAAAUGAUGCAGAGCUGGGUAGUGACAUUGAUCCGCAAGAAGCUCAAAAGGCACUUGAAAUAGCCGAAGCUAACUUGAGUAAAGCUGAGGGUAUGAAAGAUUUGGUUGAAGCGAAGCUCGCUCUCACACGAGCUAGGAUACGAAUCGAGGCUGUCAGUGAAGCGGUGACAUAGUUUUGAUGGGAUCGUUCUCGAACACGAGAGACAGAUCUAGAGGAGAACAUGUCAACCGAAAUAUCUCACCUUCACCGCUUAAAAUCAAUAAAAAGGCUGUAACGACAGCCCAGAAGAAACGCUAGAUACAGUGGCGGAAACAAGCCUAGGGCAAAUCGGGCUAUAGCCCUAGUUGUAGUGACAAUAGUGUGUGUAAUAUCUUCUUAUGAACUACAAAAAUUUCUAAAGUACACCACUCAAUCUAAUUUAGCCCUAGGCAUAACCCCAUGCUAAUUCCGCCUCUGGCUAGAUACACCCGAGGCAUACCCAGCCAAGCCCCCAAAUAAAAAAGCUAUCACCUUCCUAUUGGCCGGUUUUUGUCUGCCAAAAAAACUCAAAAAAUCAGAAAAAAGAAACCUAGCCAGGUUUAGUAUAGUUAGAAUGUUGCACCCUAAAUAGAUUAUUUUUUAAAUAAGUAAUAAUUAAUAAUUACAUCAUAUUCAGAUUCUACGCAUUUUUCUAGUCAAAUUUCAUAUAUAAUAUGUUAAAAAUGAAGUUAGGGUUCAAAAGUUAUGAUUAUUUUUUAAAAUAUCUAUUGCAGAAGGACUAUGGAUUGUCUAACGUAAAUAUUAGGGUGUUAUAUGUAAAAAUAGAAAAAACGAUUCGCUCGGACUGCAGGUUUAUUAUUGUAAAAGUCAAGGGGAUUUUUGUAAAAAUAAAAAAUGAUUCGUUUUGAUUUAAAUACGUACUACAGGUUGAUUACCUAAAACUGUAGGUUUUUUUUUAAAAAUGUCCAACGAAAUACAGGCAGAAACACUCCAUCGUGAGUGACGCUAUGUGUCCGCCGGCGGCUGUUAUAAAAUGAUGAUGGAGAUGUGAUCUACCUAUGUAAUGGGUCAUCUUUGCAACAAGUGCAUUGUUACGGUGUUUUUUAAAGCCGAGCUUUUGUUACAGAUUUUUUAACAGUGGUUUUAUUGCAGAAUUUUUUUGCAACAACAAUCUUGUUGCAGAAUCAUUUUUAUGAGUUUUUUACAACAAAUGUUUUGUUGUUGACAUUUUUCGUAACAAUGGUCUUGUUGCAGAAUUAUUUAUGUGAGUUUUUUUAUGGUGCAACAUCGUCCUUUUGUGGAAAGAAUUGCAACAGCCCUUUGUGGCAAAAAUAAAUAUCUUCUAUUUGCUUCACCGACAACGCCUUCGUCCGCUAUAGUGAGCUUAAGUUAUGGGUAAUUUGACGGCCGCGUGAGCGGUGGAUGCGAUGAAAGAUUGGUCGGUUGAAUGGAAACUUUUUCCUAAAUAGUAGGGUAGAAUAGGUAUAGGUAUAGGUGUAGAUAGAUAUAGAUAUAUAAUAGUCAAUUUUUUUGUAAAUAUGAGUAGUCAGAUUUAGAUUAAGCUCAUGCCAACGAGUUCGAUCUCUCGGAUGACAAAACGCGCCAGGGCUAGAUAGCUGGGUGAAAAACUUGAGCGUUAAUAGUUUUUCAAUUUGACAUGUUAUAGCAUCGCAGUUGGCACAUAAACGAAAUCAUACUACCGGAAUGUGUUUGAGCUUAACGAAACCAGUUACAGGGUUAAAAUUAGCGUUAGUUAGGACUUCUUUUUUAGGGGUAAAUGCUUUGCUUUAUUGACCAAUAAUACGAAGUUCAGGAAUUACAUGUAAAUCGAAGGGUUGUAGGAGCCACAAAUGGCGUCCUUCCCCCAAAUGCAAAGCAUGCUUAGCUAGGAGAUGAGCUUCCCUAUUAGAAACUCUCCCUUCAUGAACAAAAGAAAUAUGUUGAAAAUCUGAAUUUCCAGCCUUAACUUCCUCCACUAUUGGGCAUGUGAUUCCUUGUGUACCCGAGAUGAUCUCCAUUACCGCUGUGAGACAGUCUGAGGAAACGACGAUAUUCUGAAGGAGAAGGUCCCUUGCUAGAGCUUGUGCUUCCCGACAUGCCAAGGUUUCCAGAAUGUGAGGAUGAGUGAGCCCAUGAAACACCAUGGCAGAUGCACCCAGGUACUUCCCGUGGUCAUCCCGGCAAACUGCACUAACCGUGCCAAUAGGAGGGGUUUUGUAGACUGCCCCAUCAACGUUGAUCUUUGCAAACCCCAACGGUGGUGGUCUCCAACCUGUUGAUGUUGCCUGGGUCACUCUAGCAUGCGAUAACGGCCGUACCGGUCUUGUCUCUCUCAGCUCAUCAAUGAAUUUGGUAACGAAAGAAAACGUUGCUACUGGACUCUGGUGCUCUCCCUCAUGAAUGAGCUUUAUUCGUGCAUACCAGAUUGCCCACAAGGUGACUGUCAUGCGAGUCAGUUCUUCCUGGGAGACAGAAGCAAACAUACUGAAUAACCAGGAGCGAGCAGACGGUUCCGCAGUAGCUCACAUAUGUUCAACCAGUUGUUGAUCAUGUAGCGCCCAUACGCACCGAUCCAUAGUGCAUGUAAUCAACGAAUGGAACCACGAGUCUGCGGCGCCACAUAUUGCACAAGAGGGUGUCGAGGUCAUAUGCCGGUGGUGGCGCACAUCUGUUGUAGGGAGAGAAGAGCAUGCUAGUCUCCACAGAAAUACCUUGAUCUUCGACGGCACUUGGAUAUGCCAGAGUUUAUCCCAGCACUUUCUUUCUCUGGUAUUAUCGGCAGGGCCUCCGCGCCCCUCUAACCAUGCUUCCCUUCUUAACUUCGUCGUGAUGAGCAUACGGUAACACGAUCUGACAGUAAAUUGUCCCUUCUUUUCUUGUGACCAUGCCCAGUAGUCCGAGCUUUGUCUGGUAGGGGGGGUAUGUUUAAGAUCACACCUGAAUCAAUUGGAAGGAAGGUUGCAUUGACCACAUCAUGUUUCCACUUAGCAGCCGUGUUAUCAAUUAACUCCGACACCAUCAUAGGUCUGUGAGUUGUAAGGCAUGUUAUUGGGCGCAUAGAAGCCUCCUUAGGUAACCAAUUCUGACUCCAGAUGUUAGUGUCUGUGUCAUCUCCAAUUCUUCUAAUCAGUCCAACCUUGAGGGCCUCUUUCCCUUCCAUGAUUGCCCGCCAAAUCAGCGAAGGAUUGUUGCCCAGCUCCGCUUCCAAAAAUCCAGAGGAGGGAAAAUAUCGUGCUUUAAGGAUCCUAGCACUGAUUGUUUCCGGAGAUUUAAGAAGCCGCCAUGCUUGUCUUGCCAGGAGGGCGAUGUUGAAGAGUUCUAUAUCCCUAAACCCCAGUCCACCUUCAUACUUGGGGCGGGUCAUUACUUCCCAGGAUGCCCAACAUGUUUUUCUUUCUCCAUUCUUACUCCCCCACCAGAACUUACGGAUCACCGAAUUGAUAUGAAGACAUAACCCCCGCGGCAGUUUGAAACAUGCCAUAGAAAAGACCGGGAUUGCUUGCGCAAUAGAUUUAAUUAGCACCUCCUUCCCUCGAGAUGAUAUCAUUUUCUCCAUCCAACCUUUGACCUUGCUCCAGACUCUGUCCUUUAGAUACUUGAAAGCGCCAUUCUUGCUGCUUCCCACAUCAGUGGGCAUGCCCAGAUACUUUUCAUUCAAGCUUUCAUUUUGCACGUUGAGGAUAGUUUUAAUGGACUCUUUUAGCAUUGUUGCACAUCCUCUGCUGAAGAAAACCGAUGAUUUUGCUUGAUUAACUUUCUGUCCUGAUGCCCUACAAUAAGUUUCCAACAGUGCAGAUAUGGCAGUAGCGCCCUCACUACUUGACUUGAAAAACAACACGCAAUCAUCGACAAAAAGUAGGUGUCUGGCCAAAGGGGCCGUUGGCUCCACUUUAAUUCCAUAGGAAGGCGAUGACUCGUUCUGAUUUUUUAGGAGGCAUGAAAGGCCCUCUGCUGCUAUCAAGAAAAGGUAGGGUGACAAAGGAUCUCCCUGUCGAAUUCCCCUUGUAGGUUUGAAUUGUUCCAACUUUUUUCCAUUGAAUAAUACGGAGAACUGUACUGAACUCACCAUCUUUAAGAUUGUAGCAAUCCAAUCUGGAGCAAACCCCAGACCUAGCAUCAUAGCUUUCAUGUAGUCCCAUUCAAGGCGAUCAUAGGCUUUCAUCAUGUCUAGUUUCAAAGCACAAAACCCAUUCUGUUUUGACUUAUUUCGUUUCAUGAAAUGAAGGCAUUCGUAUGCCGAGAUGAUGUUGUCUGUGAUCAGCCUGCCUCCUACAAACGAAGACUGCUCCUCUGAUAUGAUUUCCGGCAGGAUGUUUUUUAAUCUAUUAGCUAGGACUUUGGAGGCUAUUUUAUAAAUGACAUUACAUAGGCUGAUAGGAAGGAACUGAGCAAGCAAGGUAGGAUUGUUUACCUUUGGUAGAAGAACCAAGAUAGUCUCAUUUAGGCCAUGUAUCUCUUCCUCACCCUUCAGUAUUUUCAGUAUGAUGUUCGUGAUCUCAUCACCAUAGACACCCCAAUAUCGCUGAAAAAAAUGGACGGGAAACCCAUCCGCUCCCGGAGCCUUCGUAGGGGCCAUCUGAAACAAGGCUGAUUUUACUUCUUCUUUGGUAUACUCGGAAGUCAGGUGUUGGUUCAUUGCAUCAGUCACACGUCUCGGGACUGUACUAGUGACUGCUUCCAUAUCAGUUGUACCCUCGGACGUGUAAAGGUGGUGAUAGAAAUCAGUUGCCAUGUGCUCCAAUUCCGUUUCAUCGUCGACCACAGAACCAUCCUCCCUUACCAGUGAUUUAAUUCUAUUUUUGCGUCGCCGUUUACUGGCUCGCAAAUGAAAGAAUUUGGUGUUCUUGUCUCCUGCCGCAAGCCAGGUAAUGCGGGAUCGUUGUCGCCACAUGAUUUCCUCUCGAUGGUAUAGUUCUGCUAGUCGGUCCUUUAUUUUGAUCUCACGCUGAGUAGGACCAGUGCGGGCCGGAUCCUCCUGAAGUAUUGCCAGGUCCACAUUCAGUCGCUUAAUCUCAGAGCGAACGUUGCCGAAGGUGGUUUUGUCCCACCGGUGAAGUCCUUUAGACAACGAAUCAAGCUUAGCUUUAAGUCCUCGAACUGUUGUGGCCCCCGGACCUUGCUAGUGUUGCUGUAUCUCCUCCUGGAACCCAUCAUGCGCCUCCCACAUCACCUCAUAUCUGAAUUGUUUGCUGUAAGGCUGGGUGCCGGGCGAGUCACCAUCCAACUGGAGCAGGAUUGGAUUGUGAUCUGAAGUGGCUGCAACUCUAUGUGAUAGGUUUGCCUGCGGGAAUAGCGUGCUCCAUUCCCCAUCCGCCAGAGCUCUAUCUAGACGGACACGGGUAUAUGUUCCUCCUGCCACUCUUCUUUCAAAAGUCCAUUUUGUUCCCGAGAAACCAAGAUCAUUCAGACCACAAACAUCAACUGCAUCCCUAAAACCAUUCACCUGUGUCAAACUACGAUAGCUCGACCCUUCGUAGUCAUCCAAGCGCAAAACCUCAUUGAAAUCGCCAAUGCAUAACCAUGGGCGUGUGUUGGCAGAAGACAAGGAUCUCAUAAGGUCCCAAGUUAUAUUUCUAUUCUCAACUCGCGCUUCACCAUAGACCACUGUUAACCUCCAUUGGGGAGUCCCUGGCACUUUUAUUAGAGAAUCAAUGUGAUAGUUUGAGUAACCAAAAGUCUCAAGGUUUAUUGUAUUGUUCCAAAACAUACCAAUACCUCCACUCCUUCCACAACUACUAACAACAAAAGAACUGUCAAACCCUAGUGAACUCGCUAGAUUCUCAACUCGGCCUCCAGGGAGUUGAGUCUCAAUCACACAGAGCACUAGUGGAGAAAGCUGCCUCGCUAGGUUGCGAAGCUCACGAACUGUCUCAGGUGUACUAGCCCCUCGAUAGUUCCAACAAAGUAUAUUCAUUGAGCCCGGCGGCGCUCCUCUAAGGAGCCCGCCAACUCGCUCUGUGAGUCUGUCUUCUUCAGGGGAGACGAUCCCGCUCGAUGCUUCUUCCUGUCCCGAGGCGCCACAUAACCAUGCGGGGGUGGUGGAACCCUCUCAGAUGUAAUCGCAUCCUCCACCCCAGCUCCAUCAUCGGCAGAUGAUGUAGUAGCCAGAUCCAGCUUCUUCUUUGCUGACGAAACAACCAUUAGUGGUUGUGCUUCCCCUCCAUCCUCCUGUCCAUCCGGACUCGUUUUCAUUUGAAUCUCAUCUGUGUCCUCUAUGUUCUCAUUAUCACUCAGAUCAGCCUCAUGUGAGGAGCGUUUCCUAGCUGUAGGAGUUGCUCUAGCGUUCCCCGCCGAUAUCCUUCCCCGUCCCCGGUUCCGAGGUGGAUUUGAAUAACUAGCUUGGCUAUACUGGUAGGAAGGUAUAGCUCUCCUUUUAGCUAACAUCCAUUGGCCAUAUUCAAUUUCGUCAGGGCCAUGAACACCAUCGCCACACUCUUCCAAGCUAUGCCCCAUAAUUCCACAUACCUCACAAAAGAAACCAAUCUUCUCAUACUUUACUGGCAGCAACAUGAUCUCCUCCCCACUGAUUUUUAACGGAGUGAACCGAACCAGGGAUUCACCAACCUUUAUCUUAGCUCGUACCCUGACAUAGUUCCCUUCAAAAACCCUAGCAGGAUUUAACUCUACGCUCUUGACCUGUCCGAUCCUCCUUGCUAACUAAUCGAGCACUCCUUCCCUGCGAUAUAGCUCCGGGGUGUCGUGGAUUUGGGCCCAUACGUGUGUCCGGUCAAGAGCCACCGCAUGCGGUUUACCCUUCCCGUCGUAUUCCUCCAAUACCACAAUGAGUCCCCUGAAGAUCCAAGGACCUUGAUGCAUAACCCUGUUCCAAUCCCCGACACAGAAGACUUGCACAAUGAAGAGAUUAUCAUCCGCUUCACGGAUCGAUGGUUCCUGAGCCAGCCGCGAGAUGAACUUCAUCGUAGUUUUGAACGGUUCAGCACUGAAAGUCUUGUUCGUGUUCACUUUAGCUACUGCUAACCAGCGAUUUUCUUGCGUGAAUUGGGCGAUCUCCUCCUCCCCCACCAUUACUACAUCUAACUCUGACUCCUUCAGUUUCAUGUUCUUCAUCGCGGACUCUAGAUCGAUCGGCGCCUUCCCCCUCUUGCUCCCCGAAGAAGAUCCUCCCGGGGUUUUAGUCGAGGCCGACGCCAUGCUCGCGAAGCCCAGCCCCCGAUCCGAGGGAAACCCUGAUCAGUACUGGUAUUUGCGGAAGGAAACCCUCAACGACGGCGAGGCGCCGCCGGAGUAGAAAACCCUAAACCCUAGCCGUCGCUAGGGUUAGUCUAUAUCUGACAACCAUUGCAUUAGUUAGGACCUAACAUGCGCCAGCGUGACACGGCAGUAAAGCACAGGACCGGGCCGGCAAAAUCCAUGGCCCUGUGUGAAAGCCUAAAAUGAGGCCCUAUCUCAUAAAGAUUGAACUACUAAACAAUUCUAAUAUAUAUGACGUAAUGUUCUACAUAACUUUUCUAUUGCGUUUCUUGAACCUGGAACCAGACUAUUUUUUUUAAUAUAUGCUUCAGUAUAUGGUCAACAUGUUUUCAAAUACAUACAAACAUUUUUUUAAUGUAUGUUGAACAUUUCUUCUACCUACAGUGAACUUUUUUAGUGCACGAUAAGCUUUUAUUUACAUACGGUGAAUACUUUUCUUAAUAUAUCAAACUUCCUGUAAUAUAUGUUGAAGAUAUUUUAAAUGCAAAUUAAAAAAAUUGUAAUAUAUGUUGAACAAUUUUUUAAUAUAUGAUGAAAAUUUUAUAUAAUGCAUAGUAAACUUUUUGUAAUAUAUGGUGAACAUUUUCUUAAUAUACAAUGAACAUUUUAUAAUACACGGUAAUAUUGUUUUAAAUACGCGCUGAACAUUUUUCAUACACAAACUAAACAUAUUUUAUUAAAUUAUGAACCUUUCAUAAAUACUCUCUUCGUCCGGAAAUACUUGUCACAAGAGUGGAUGUAUUUAGAUAUAUUUUAAUUCUAGAUACAUCCAUUUUUAUCCAUUUGUGGACAAGUAAUUCCGGACGGAGGGAGUAUAUAUUUUAUUUGGAAUAGGUUACAAAUAUUUCAAAUCCUGAAAAAGAGUUCAAACAACCAUUUUUUAGAACAAAACCGAUUGAAAUAUGAAGAAACAAAUAACAAAAAUAGAGCACUGCAACAUUGUGUCCAUAUAUACAUGCAUGAUCCAUCCAUGCACGAGACGAAUCGUAGAGGUUACCAGCACGAGCGUGCACAUCUGACCACUGACGUAUGCAGCAUCAUAUGCAGCGUUCCAGUGAGCAACAAUACGUAUGCAGUAACCACAUUUACAUGACACUACAUUUUUUUAGGGGUAAAUGCUUUGUUUUAUUGAUCAAUAGUACGGGAUACAGGGAUUACAUGAGUAUUAAAAGGUUGUAGGAGCCACACAUGGCGUCCUUCCCCCAAAUGCAAAGCAUGCUUAGCUAGAUAAUGAGCUUCCAUAUUAGAGGCUCUACCUUCGUGUACAAAGGAUAUACUCUGAAAGUCCAAAUUUCGUUCUUUAACCUCCUUGACAAUUGGGCCAGUAAUACCACAAGUGCCAGAGUUGAUCUCAGUUACCGUUGAGAGGCAGUCCGACGCCACAACGAGGCUGUGGAGAAGUAGGUCCCUGGCUAGGGAUUGGGCUUCAUGACAUGCAGUGUUUCCAAAAUAUGAGGGUCAGUUAACCCAUGAAAGACCACGGUUGAUGCUCCCAAAUACAUCCCCUGAUCAUCUCGACAUACCGCAUUCACAGCGCCAAUGGGAGGGGCCUUGCAGAUCGCCCCAUCAACGUUAACCUUGGCAUAUCCAGCAGGAGGCGGUAUCCAUCUUUUUGCAGCAACCUGCGCCGGCCUCACAUGUGAUAAUGAGCGUUGUGGCUUGGUCACUUCCAGCUCGGCGAUGUAUUUGUUGACAAAAGAAUAGGUUGCCAGUGGGCUUUGAUGUUCUCCUUCAUGGAUUAGUUUCCUCCGGGCAAACCAAAUCGCCCACAAUGUGACCGUCAUGCUAACCAGUUCCCCUUCUGCAAUCGUAGAUAUCAUGCUGAAGUGCCAUGAGCGUGCGUCUGCUUCCGCAGUGACUAGCAUAUGUUCGACCAGCUGCGGGUCAUGAAGUGCCCAGACACAGCGUGGCAUUGUACAGUUUAAUAGGGAGUGGAACCAUGAGUCCUCGGCGCCACAUAUUGCACAAGAUGGGGACGACGCCAUAUGUCGGUGGUGCCGAAUAUCCGCUGUGGGAAGAGAGGUUUGUGUCAGUCUCCACAGGAAGACCCUGAUCUUCGACGGCACCGGGAUAUGCCACAGCUUGUCCCAACAUUUCUUCUCUCUGCUACUGUCAGCAGGCCCCCCGCGACCCUCUAGCCAUGCUUCCCGUCUAAGUUUCGUCGUGAUAAGCAUGCGAUAGCAGGAUCUGACAGUGAAGCCCCCUUCCUUUCCUGUGACCAUGCCCAGAAGUCCUCACUCUGUCGAGUAGGUAGGGGUAUGUUAAGAAUCACAUUGCCAUCAAUUGGUAAGAAGGUUGUAUUAACCAGGUCCUGUCGCCAUCUUGCGGAGGUGCUGUCGAUGAGUUCUGACACCAUAGUCGGUCGAUGAGGAGUAAGGCAGGCUAUUGGUCGCAUAGAUGCCUCCUUGGGGAGCCAAUUCUGGUUCGAGAUAUGAGUGCUGGUGCCAUCACCAAUUCUCCUAAUAAGACCAACUUUGAGGACAUCUUUUCCUUCAAUUAUUGCCCGCCAAAUCUGUGAAGGGUUGUUGCCAAGUUCAGCAUCCAAAAACUGAGCUGAGGGGAAAUAGCGUGCUUUGAGGAUCCUUGCACUCAGUGUUUCCGGAGCUUGAAGUAUGCGCUAAGCUUGUCUUGCGAGGAGGGCGAGAUUAAACAGUUUGAUAUCUCGAAACCCCAACCCGCCUUCAUAUUUGGGGCGUGUCAUCACUUCCCAAGAGACCCAACUUGUCCUUCUUUCACCAUUUUUUCUGCCCCACCAGAAUUUACGAAUCACCGAAUUGAUAUGGAGACAGAGUCCUCGCGGCAAUUUGAAGCACGCCAUUGAAAAUACCGGGAUUGCUUGUGCUACUGAUUUUAUGAGUACCUCCUUUCCUCCAGAUGAUAGCAUCGUCUCCAACCAACCCUUAACUUUGCUCCAAACUCUGUCCUUCAGAUACUUGAAGGCUCCAUUCUUGCUGUUCCCCACAUCUGUGGGCAUGCCCAAGUAUUUCUCAUUCAAACUUUUGUUCUGCACAUUCAGGAUAGUCUUGAUAGACUCUUUCACCUCGGGUGCAUAGCCUCUGCUAAAGAAAACCGACGAUUUGGCUUGCUUAAUUUUCUGUCCCGAGGCCAUACAGUAGGUCUCCAACAAAGAACAUACCAGAGUAGCUCCCUCACUACUAGCCUUGAAAAACAGCAGGCUAUCAUCGGCAAAAAGUAAGUGGCUGACCGGAGGGGCCGUUGGUGCCACUUUAAUUCCCCUGGUAGGCGAUGACUCAUUCUGACUUUUAAGGAGGCACGAAAGGCCCUCUGCUGCCAACAAGAAAAGAUAGGGUGAUAACGGAUCUCCCUGUCGAAUUCCUCUUGUAGGUGUGAAUUGUUCAAGCUUCUUCCCGUUAAAUAAGAUAGAAAACUGAACCGAGCUCACCAUCCUCAUGAUUGUAUCAAUCCAAGCCGGUGAAAACCCCAAACCUGUCAUCAUGGCUUUCGGGUAGUCCCAUUCGAGGCGAUCAUAAGCUUUCAUCAUGUCCAGUUUUAAGGCACAAAAACCAUUCUGUUUUGACUUGUUCCGCUUCAUAAAGUGAAGGCACUCAUAGGCAGACAUAAUGUUGUCCGGCAUAAGCAUGCCCCCCUACAAAUGCAGACUGCUCUUCUGAUAUAAUAUCUGGAAGGAUAGUUUUCAAUCUAUUAGCCAGAACUUUGGAAGCAAUCUUGUAAAUGACAUUACAUAGGCUUAUUGGUCGGAACUGAGCAAGGAGAGUGGGAUUAGUUACCUUAGGUAUUAAAACCAAGAUAGUCUCAUUCAAGUCCUUUACCUCUUCUUCCCCUUUCAGAAUUUUUAAGAUGAUGGUAGUGAUAUCAUUUCCACACACACCCUAAUACCGUUGAAAGAAGUGGCGGGAAAACCAUCAGCCCCCGGAGCUUUAGUAGGUGCCAUUUGGAAAAGGGCUGACUUCACUUCCUCUUUGGUAUAUGCAGAGUUCAGUGUAAGAUUCAUUUCAUCGGUAACUUUCCGAGGAACCGUACUAGUCACUGCCUCCAUAUUCGUUGUACCUUCGGAUGUGUAGAGGUGGUGAUAGAAAUCAGUUGCCAUUUGUUCCAGUUCCACUUCAUCAUCCACUAUAGUGCCAUCUUCCCUUACAAGCUUUUUAUUUUAUUCUUCCGUCUCCGUUUCCUCGCUCGUAAGUGGAAGAAUUUUGUGUUCUUGUCUCCUGCAGCAAGCCAUGUAAUGUGUGAUCUCUGACGCCACAUUAUCUCCUCCCUUUGAUAUAAUUCCGCUAAACGGUCCUUGAUUUUAAUCUCAAUGCGGGUAGGUUCCAUUCAACUAGGGUCAGCCUGAAGGUGAGCAAGCUCUCCAUUUAACCGUUUAAUCUGUGUACGGACAUUGCCAAAAGUGAUUCUUCCAUCGUCCUAAUCCAUUUGACAGAGCAUCAACUUUCACCCUUAGGCCUCAACUGUGGUAGUACCUGGGCCCUGCCAAUGUUGUUGUACCACCUCUUGGAAACCAUCAUGGGACUCCCACAUCAAUUCAUACCUGAAUUGUUUUUGACGAGAUUGUAGGUCUCGCGGUUCACCUUCGGUCUGAAGCAGGAUGGGGUUAUGAUCCGAAGUGGCUGCCACUUUAUGCAGCAGCAUCGCGUGUGGGAAGAUGCUACACCAUUCCCCAUCCGCAAGUGCUCUGUCUAAUCGAACACGAGUGUAUGUCCCUCCUGCAACUCUUCUCUCAAAGGUCUAGUUUGGUCCUGAGAAGCCGAGAUCAUUUAGUCCACAGACAUCGAUGGCAUCACGGAAUCCAUUUACCCGAGUCAUACUGCGGUGGCUUGAUCCCACGUAUUCAUCCAGUCGUAAGACCUCGUUGAAGUCUCCAAUGCAUAACCAUGGACGAUUACUCGCACAGGCUAGGGAUCGCAGAAGGUCCCACGUUAUACCUCUUUCCUCAACUCGUGCUUCCCCAUAAAAUACUGUCAACCUCCAUUCGGGAACCCCUCGCAUGGUAACUAGAGCAUCAAUGUGAUAGUUCGAGUAACCAAAAGUAUCGAUCUUUAUUGAAUUAUUCCAAAAAAUACCAAUACCACCACUCCUGCCAGAACUACUAACUGCAAAGGAACAAUCAUAGUCUAGUGAACUUGCUAAGCUCUCUACUCGCCCCCCAGGAAGCUGAGUUUCCACAAUGCACACCACUAGUGGAGUAUACUGCCUCGCUAGAUUGCGAAGCUCGCGAACUGUCUCAGGUCUACCAGCCCCUCGACAGUUCCAGCAAAGCACACUCAUUGAGCCCGGCGGCGCUCCUCGAAGGAGCCCGCCAACUUGCUAUGUGAGUUUGUCUUUUUAAGGGGAGACAUCCCCGCUCGAUGCUUCUUCCUGUCCCUUGGCGCCACACACUCCUGUGGUGGUGGCGGAACCUGCUCGGUCCGCGAGGUCUCUGGCAUGGCAAAAGGAUUCUGCUCACCUCCCCCAGUUCUCGCCUGCUCCGUUGCUAUAGGUGUUGUGUUUGACAAGUCGAGUCUUUUCUUUGCUGCAGGGUUUGCAUAUGGUGGAUGUGCUCCCUCUCCAUCCUCCUGCUCCUUCGGCAUACAUUUCAUGGGGCUCUCGGCUGUGUCAUCCACGUUUUCAUUGUCGCUCAAACCUGCCUUCUGAGACGAACGUUUCUUGGUUGUGUGAGUUGGUCUAGUAGCCCCAGCCGAUCUUCCUCCCCUUCCACGACGAUUGCGGGGAGGGUUUGAGUGGCUAGUCUGGCUGUACUAAUUUGAAGGUAGUGUUCUCCUUUUAGCUAUCAUCCAUUGCCCAUAUUCGACCUCAUCAGGGCCAUGGACACCGUCUCCACACUCUUCCAGAUUGUGUCCCAUAACACCACAUACCUCACAGAAGAAACCGAUUUUCUCAUACUUAACUAGCAGCAACUGAAUUUCCUCCCCUCUGAUUUUUAGCGGGGUGAACCGAACUAGUGGUUCGUCAACUCUAAUCUUGACUCGAACCCUCACAUAGUUUCCUUCAAAAACCCUACAGGGUUCAUCUCCACGCUCUUUACCUGCCCAAUCCUCCGUGCUAGUUGGUCGAGCACCACUUCACUGCGAUGAAACUCUGGGGUAUCAUGUAUUUGAGCCCAUACCGGUAUCCGAUCCAGAGCCACCGCCUACGGUUUGCCCUUGCCAUCGUACUCCUCGAUAACCACCAUUAGACCCCUGAAGAUCCAAGGACCUUGGUGCAUAACCCUGUUCCAGUCUCCAACACAGAAGAGCUGAAUAAUGAAGAGAUUAUCGUCCGCCUCGCGGAUCGCAGGUUCAUACGCCAGCCGCCAUAUGAACUUCAUUGUUGUUUUUGAAGGAUUCAACACUAUAAGCUUUGGUUGUGUUCACCUUAGCUACUGUUAGACAACGCGUUUCCUCUGCAAACUUGGAGAUCUCAUCGUCUCCCACCAUCACUGCAUCCAACUCGGAUUCCUUCAGUUUCAUGUUCUUCAUCGUCGUCUCUAAUCGAUCGGCGAUUUCCCCUUCCCGCCCCCGAAGACGAGCCCCAUGGGGCGUCAGUCGUUGAUGAAGAAGCCAUGGUCGUCGGAUCUAACCCCCCGAUCGCCCCACGAGCGUGCCGUAGGAGGAAGCCUGGAUCCGCGGUCGCGUCGCGUAAGAGAGAGCCUCAACGGCGGCAGCUUGCCACCGGAGUAGAUCAACCCUAAACCCUAGCCGCCGCCAAGGUUAGGUCAUGUGAUGGUCCGCUUUUCUAUUAGUGAUGGGGACGGAGAGAGCAGCGUUUACAUGACACUGCAUGAUGGAGCUUUUUCUAGUAGGCUUAUGUAAGAAAUUUGGGCCCCCAAAUUUAUGGGCCCUGUGCAGACUGCACAGUUGGUACCACUAUGGGCCCGACACUGAUAAAGCACCGUCAUCAUCUUCAUGCUAAGGGCUCCUUUAAUUCAAAAGAAUUUUAUAAUAAAAUUUAUAGGGUAAGUUUUUUUUUUCUAUAUUUGUCGUUUGAUUCACAUAUUUGAAUCCUAUAGGAUUUUUUUCCCGUCAUAUCAAAUUUACAACAUUUCAUUGGAAAUAUAGCAUCCAGUCCAAUUUUUUUCUAAUUCUUUUGUUUUUUCGGUGGCAUCAAACACUUUAUGUUAAUCCUAUAGGAAUCAAAUGUACAUGCCACUCAAACCGUGCAUUUUUUCUAUUCCUUCGUUUUAAAAAAUCCCGCAAAUCAAAAAGGGCCUAAAAGUUUUUGACAACAACGUUUCCAUCAGUUGUCACCUGGUACACGUACAACUAGCGGCCGAUUUCACUGUUUUGACCCUUUUAACGUAGUUUAACCUGAUCUGACCUUGUUCAUGAAAAAAAAUUGGAUCUGACCUUUUCCUACCGCCACUCCCUGUGGCGGUAGGGUUCGGGUCAUUGGAGAUGACAAAGUCGGGACAACAGGGUCAUCCACACUUGUUAUUGUGAAUCCCAGAUAUGUUCAGUGGUGUUCCAGUGUGAUCCCAGCUACUGGGCUAUGACCCCGUCCUCUGAAACUUUGAAAUAUACUUCCUCCGUUCUUAAAUAUAAGAUCUUUUAGCAAAUUCACUACAAACUACAUACGGAGCAAAAUGAAUGAAUAUAUGCUUUAAAUAUGUCUAUAUACAUAUCUCUCCCUAAUAAUAAAGCACGGAUCGCUUAUGUCGUCCGUUAUGGCUAUUUUGCAUAAAAGCCCCUAUAUUUUUUCAUAUUCAACCUGCAGUCCUUGUGUAAGUCAAGCCGAACCGUUAUUUUACGAUUUAAAAAAAAACCCUGAUGUUUCAGGUAAUCAACCCACCAUCCUUAUUUAAUCAGCCGAAAUAUUUUUUUCGUUUUAACAAAAAAACCUGACUUUUCAGUUAAUCAAUUCAGAUUUUACCUAAAACAAAAUUAUCCAUAUCUUUUAAACCAUAACUUCGAUUUUAACAUGUUAUAUAUGAAACAUCGUAGAGAGGAAAGAAACAUCGUUGACGAUGAUACGAAUUGCAAUAAACAUCCAUUAAAUUAAAAUCAAAUUGAGAGGAAAGAAAACAUCGUUAACCACACAUGCACACCUUUGAAAAACCUCAUGGGGAGAAACAACAUAUUUCUCAUCUUAUUCCGAGUGACUGUACAUUCAAACGCGUUUUCGUUGUGUGAGCACUGAGGCCAUCUUCGACAACACAAAUGUGAUGCCAUGUGAAAAUAUAUUGCGUUCAUAGCGUGUGUUAUUUUCUCUUCCGCUGCAACGCACAAGGUCUUUUGCUAGUGUAUGUAUAAAAAUCUCUAAAAGGUCUUAUAUUUAAGAACGAAGGGAGCAUUUAGUUUUGCACCCGCAAAUAAAAAGAAAGGAAUACAUCUAGUUUUGCAGUAGAAAAACUUCAUGUGUUGUUGUAAAAAGAGACAAGGAAGGACUAGACCCAAGUGGAUUCCAGAGAAAAAAAAAUCUAUUGAAACCGUGAGGGAAGCGCUUUCUGGGAUUUGUUGUUGGAUGACGUUGGUGGGCCGCUAGGGAAGGGAGGCAAGAUCGUUAAACUGAUGCAGAAACUUUAGCGUGUCGGAGAAAGUUUUAGGGCACGCAAACUGGAGUAGAUACUGUACGUAUGUACGUACCUAAGAAAACGCUAUAAAUCAUCCGGCCGAUCGCACGCUCGCAUCCGCCCUCUUCUUUAUACGUCACUUGCCUCAUGAUCAUCAUCAAAAUUUUUUGCAACUAGCAUGUUGUUGUAAUUUUUCAUCGCAACAACGGCUCUGUUGCAGAAUCUGAAUUCUUAAAUUUAGAUAAUACAACGACGUGACGCUUCUGCAACGUAAUCUCAAUUGCAAAAAAUAAAUCUAUAACAAAACUUUAAUUGCAAAAAAAAUUACAAUAAGAUCUUUGUUGCCAAAAAAUCUACAACAAAACUAUAGUUGCAGAAAAACUGUAACUGGACCAAAGUUGCAAAAGUGGAAAAGUUUCUCUGUCGCUCGAUGCGAGAGAUCUGACGGCUCGCGAGCUAGCGGAUAUUUAAAAAAAUCCGCCGACUGAAGGGUAGCACGCCCCUAAUCUUUCUCCGGUUACCCUUUUCCCCUUUUAGGUCGAUCUGGAUAGAGUUGGGCUUCAGCUCGAAAAAACAAACAAAAAAAGAGGAUAGAGUUGGGCUUCAGCUCAAAAAUAAGAAGAGGAUAGAGUUGGGCUGGAUAUGGGACUGCACUACCAAGUUUAGUCGGAGAGCGGCCUGGCCCGUUCACUCAUGUGAUAUAUAUCCUGUUCGUGUCUCGAAGCGAAACGAAACCAGUCCUCCUGCCAGCCAAACCCUAGUAUCCGCCGCCGCCUCCAAUAAACCAGAUGGCGCUGCGCUCUCUUGUUAGGAAGAUGCCGGCCCUCGGUGCCAGGUCGCCAGCGAUGGGCCGCCCCGUCCACGCUCUCUCGCCGGCGACUGGUUUUCGCUUCAUGUCCCAGGGUGGCACGGUAAGCACUUCUGUUCGAUUUCUCGCCAUCUGAUCCCCGCUGGCUGGUCCGAUUUUGCUCUACUUUUUCUCUCGUUUCAUCUAAUUUACGUACAACUUUUUAGACAAGUCAAGUUAGAUCCGAUCCGAGCUGGUGCGGUUUUGCCCCCUCCCCUCUACUAUCAUCUUUUUAGAGAAAUCAAUCACCCUUAUACUACUUUUUGGUGGAUGUUUGGAUGACGAAAAUCUUUCUGGGCAAUGAUUAUCCAUUCUUAAGUACUCACUUCAUUCCAUAAUGUAGUGCAUAUAAAUAUGGGAUUUUGAAAAAGUCAAACUUAAUCAACUUUGACCAAGUUUGUGUAAAAACAUAUUUACAUCUGGAGUGCCUAACAUAUAUCAUUGGAUUCAUCAUAAGACAUAGUUUCAUACUAUUAUAUCUAUUUAGUAUUAUAGAUAGAUAUAAAUAGUUUUGUAUAUAAAUUUGGUCAAAAAAUCUAUAUGCACUAUGAGUAUGAUGGAACGGAUGGACUAGUGUUUACUUAUUUAGAUUUGGGGUGACAUUUAUUGGAUCUUUUAGCCUCUUGAGAGCCAUGCAUGCUGAAUUUACUGUAUUGCAACUUUUUUAUAAAUUUCUAGCAUUUGUAAUAUUUACACAUGUCAUUAAAAAAUUAUAGGGGGGCCCAGUGGUUUAUUCUGAUGAUGAUGAGGCCAAACACCGUGAGGUCAUAAAGCGCAUGACUGCAGAGUUUGACAAGAAUAUAAAGGAGAUACACGAGAAUCUGGAUGCUAUGGAAGAAGCUGAGAGGUAAAUUCCGUAUCCAACCGGACGAGCUUUUUUACCCUAGUACUGUUUAUGAUCGCUGUAUUUUCACAGAAAUGGUUAAUUGCUUUUGGAUCAGAACAUAAAAUUAACACAAUGUAUGUGUUGCAGAAUGUUAGUCAAAAUAGUGAUCUCAUGUUUAUUAAGCAGACUACUCUGGUUUUUCAGACGCAAAGUAGGGCUAUGUUAUAAACUUUGUACUUUGUGAUAUUUUUGUAUUAGUUGUAAAAAAUCAUAUCUGCCUUUUUUAUCUUCUAACAUAUUUGCCCUUUAUGUGCAGGCUUCGCAAUGAAGACUAUGCAAAAUACCGCAAGAAGCUCAAUAAAAUUGAGACGGCGUGCGACGUUGCUCUUAUUGUGCUGGUGCCAACAACUGUCCUGCUUCUUAUGUCUCUGUAGUUUUAUUUCUUCUAGUUCGAUAAGCAACCUUAUUAUCUACUGGGUUAAGGAACCCUAUCAUGGUUUGUGUAUGUAGUAUAUGCUAGGCUUGAAUGGUUGCAGUGACUCAGGUUCUGAGGUAACAAGUAUCUAUGUGUCUGAGUUGGUUUGACAUUAUUAUUAAUCCUAAUGGACGUAUUUAUGCUAAGCA
rnacentral:lncRNA from 1 species